rnacentral:rRNA from 1 species
UGGGGAAUAUUGGACAAUGGGCGAAAGCCUGAUCCAGCAAUGCCGCGUGAGUGAUGAAGGCCCUAGGGUUGUAAAGCUCUUUUACCCGGGAUGAUAAUGACAGUACCGGGAGAAUAAGCUCCGGCUAACUCCGUGCCAGCAGCCGCGGUAAUACGGAGGGAGCUAGCGUUGUUCGGAAUUACUGGGCGUAAAGCGCACGUAGGCGGCUUUGUAAGUUAGAGGUGAAAGCCUGGAGCUCAACUCCAGAAUUGCCUUUAAGACUGCAUCGCUUGAAUCCGGGAGAGGUGAGUGGAAUUCCGAGUGUAGAGGUGAAAUUCGUAGAUAUUCGGAAGAACACCAGUGGCGAAGGCGGCUCACUGGACCGGUAUUGACGCUGAGGUGCGAAAGCGUGGGGAGCAAACA